rnacentral:tRNA from 1 species
GCACUAGUGGUAUAGUGGUAGCAUAGGUCCUUGCCACGUCGAAUGUACGACAAAUCGGACCAGACCCGAGUUCGAUUCUCGGCUAGUGCA